rnacentral:tRNA from 2 species
GGUGCCAUGGCCGAGAGGCGAGGCGACGGCCUGCAAAGCCGUAGACGCCGGUUCGAUUCCGGCUGGCAUCUCCA